AACGUAGGAGACAAACGUUAUCCGGAGUUACUGGGCGUAAAGGGCGUGUAGGCGGUCUGUUAAGUCUGGCGUGAAAGCUCUCGGCUAAACCGGGAGAGGUCGUUGGAUACUGGCAGACUAGAGGACGGUAGAAGCGUGUGGAAUUCCGGGUGUAGUGGUGAAAUGCGUAGAGAUCCGGAGGAACACCAGUGGCGAAGGCGACACGCUGGGCCGUACCUGACGCUAAAGCGCGACAGCAUGGGGAGCAAACGGG
rnacentral:rRNA from 1 species